ensembl:snRNA U1 U1 spliceosomal RNA
AUACUUCCUGGUUGGGGAGAUAGCAUGAUCAUGAAGGUGGAUGUACCCAGGUCAUUCUGACCCCUGCAACUUCCCCAAGCACAGGGAACUCCGCUGCACAAUUUCUGGUGGUAGGGGGUUGUGUUCAGGCUUUCCUCUG